UUGGUCACAAAUCAGAUGGCCUUUUCUUUAUCUUCAUUCACUUCUCCCUAACAAGUAACACUGACCUUUGCCUACUCCCUUCUUUGUCAAAUUAUCUCAUUCCCUCCUCUCAUGGAUGUUUAUAUUCCUUGGGUCAGCGUGAUGAAGUAAUUAAGAGUACGGGCUCUAGAGUCAAAGCUUGUCUCCACCAAUCAAGAGUGCUGAUCCUAACUUCUUAGCAACGUGGUGUCCCCAUGUAUAAAAUGGGGAAAAUAACUGUGCCCAACUCAUAGGGGUGCAUUAAAUGAAUUAAUUAUAGAAAAGUGCCUCCCAGCAUCUACAUCUAUAGAGCACUUGCUGUUAUUAGUAUUUUUACUAUUGCUAUGAUUCUUACAGCUGCAGCUGUUAUUAUUGCUAUUAUUUCUUCUCUUUGGUGUCUUUUCAUCGGUCUCUUCUCAACCCCUUCUAUCUUUCCUCCAGACUCCUAAGUGUAUCUGUGUUCUUGGGCCUCUUCUUUUUUCUUGCUUCAUAAAGGAAACCUCCUUGUGUCAGAUGGAUCAGAUUUGCUUGUGUACCACUCAGACCCUCUGAACCCCACUUCCCUCUGUAGCCACUGCUGUGGUGACCAGUCCUUGCAGGCUCUGGCCAGUUUCUCAUGGGUGCAACCCACAGCACCUCACUUUGGGUCCCUAACAGGUUAUUUCUUGACAUGGGCCACUUGCAGAAAACUUGCAACACAAACAUGCAGGUAAGUCCACUCUUCUGAGGGCAUCCCUGACCAAUGGGGAACAAGAGACAGAUCAACACUUCCUCCUCUCUUUUAGCCCUUAGGUGAGUGGUUCAUUUCAAACAGCUGCUCACAAGGUCCCAAGACACACUUAACUAGGAAACAGUUUGAUAAUGACUUCUUGAUUGGCUUCCUCUCCUUCCCUGAAUUUACUCCUUUCUAACUUCUGCUCCCUGGGAUCAAAUUUCCAGACGAAUUUUCUGCUGCAAGUCUUUGCCUCAGGUUGUUUUGGGGAAAAACCAAGCUAAGACACUGAUUUAUUAAGUCGAGUAGUAUUUAACUUCAAGGAUUAUCUUCUGUGCGGUUUUAUCUCUAAGGGCUAGACAACAAAUGUUCGAUGCUAUAAACACAGUAGAGUAGAAGCUGAUUUAGAGAAGAGAGAAAACAUAUUAAGUAAUCUGUGUACCAUCAUCUGAACAGUCCAGGAUUGGAGGCAGUGACCCUUCCCUGACUUCAGUGACUCUCUCAAUAAAAUUCCAGCAGAGGAUUUCCUGGAAAGGAUUGCUCCCUCAUACAGGAUCAAUUAAGUGUGUGCUGCCUGCAAGAGUGAUCACCCCACUGGUACUGAAGUGAAUAUUUGUACUGAGGAACAUUGAAAUUACACGUUUCUAAGAUCUCAGAUUAGAAAGAAUAAAGGUGGUGUUUCAAUGCCGUG